GCCGGAGUGGCGGAAUGGCAGACGCGGCGGAUUCAAAAUCCGCUCCUGGAGACAGGGUGGGGGUUCGAGUCCCCCCUCCGGCA
rnacentral:tRNA from 1 species